AUAAAAAAAAUACACGAGAGGACCGUGUGUUCUACACAUGAAUUUGCGCAUGUUGUCAAAGCAAAUCAAUAUCACGUGUAAAACAUAUGACAUCGCUCAUUCGAAACUCUGCAUUUGUUUAUAAACAAACCACACGGUAUUAACGUGUAAAACAAAUAGAAUUCUGUUGCUUGACUUGCCAGAGUCACUUGUUUGAUAUGUGAUAUCGAAAUGUAUUCGUGUUGAAUUUCGUUUGUUAUAACAAAAAUGCUGAACCACACCAACCAGCAUUAACGAACUGAGGCCGAAGAGUUUGUUCUAGGACAGAUCACCAAGAAAUUCAAAGGAUUGCUGCCGGAAAACGUGAUUGGUUCGGUGCUGAUGCCUACCAAUAACAGGAAGCCGCCAUGAAGUACGUACGUCGCAAAGGAUAUUCCGAAGAACCGAUACUGAGGAUUCGUCGU